GAAAUGCGAUACGUAAUGUGAAUUGCAGAAUUCAGUGAAUCAUCGAAUCUUUGAACGCAUCUUGCGCUCCGGGGUAUUCCUCGGAGCAUGCCUGUUUGAGUGUCGUGGAAAUCUCAACCCCGCCGGGUUUUAUCGCUCGGCAGACGGGCUUUGGAUCCUGACCGUUUGCCGGGCCUCGCCUCAGGGGCCCCCGGCUCGGUCGAAAUGCAAGAGUGGCUGAUUCCCAAUCCGGCCUGACUCGGCGUGAUAAUCACACUUCGCCGAUUACGGAUGGGGCGACAAAGGCCGCUACCAAGACCCGACACCACUUCUGAACUUGACCUCAAAUCAGGUAGGGCUACCCGCUGAACUUAA
rnacentral:misc_RNA from 1 species